GACGUAGGUGGCGAACGUUAUCCGGAAUUAUUGGGCGUAAAGGAUGCGUAGAUGGUGUAGUAAGUUAUCGGUGGUAAAUCGAGGCUCAACCUCGAGCUGUCGGUGGAAACCGUGUGGCUAGAGUCCGGAAGAGGAGAGUGGAAUUCCCGGUGUAGCGGUGAAAUGCGCAGAUAUCGGGAAGAACACCCGUGGCGAAGGCGGCUCUCUGGGACGGUACUGGACGCUGAGACGCGAAAGCGUGGGGAGCGAACAGG
rnacentral:rRNA from 1 species